rnacentral:rRNA from 1 species
GUUUCUCCUCGUGCUCCCCUCCUCUGUUCUCUCCGGUGCUCCUCCCGCGAGACGAGACGGCCGCCACUAAACCCUAACCCUAGAUUGGAUUACGGGGGCUGGGAGAGGGAGAGGGUCGGAGCGGCGGCGGCGGCGGCGGCGAGAUGUCGGCGAAGAAGGGGCUCUCGAGCACGCUGCGGAACCUCAAGUUUAUGCAGCGGGCGGCGGUGGCGCAGAAGAUUGAGGACAAGGCCGAUGUCGAGGUGGAGGAGGCGGCGGCCGAGGUGGUGAUGACGCCGGCGGCCAACGGAGGAGGGGUUAGCUUGUCGGUCCAGGUCGCCAGGAAGUGUGUAGUUGUCAUGGAGGGUAAUCCACAUCCAGGAGCUGUAAAGGGUCGAAUGUCAUUCCAAAAUUUCAAUCCAUCCAUUGAUAAACUAAAUGACGAGGCAAGUGGUCACCCAACACAAUCAGCUUCACCUAGUAAUUCUCAACAAGACAGUGCAAAUACCAGCAGAGUGGAUGAUAUAUCAGCAUCAAGAUUUAGAAGCUUCAAUGUUGAUAGUUCAGAAAGCAUAUCUCUGAAUGAGUUGAAGAGAAAAGAGCCUGGGCUGGAGAUGGAAACACCACCAUCGCGUAAGCUGCCAAAGACGACUGGCCAGAACGUGGAUGGCCAGCCGUCUUCGCAGAGCAAUGGUCGUGGGUCUGGCAAGUCGAACAAGCAUGAAAAGCUUGACUUUAAUCUUCUCAGAAAACGGAAAUCAAAAUGAGGCCCAGGUUAGCAUUAGCCAAGAGAGCUCUGUGUACUCCAUAUGUCACCAUUUGUACUCUGUAUCUGAUCAGCCUUGUGCGUUGUUCACUGAAUUAUUUCUGUAGUAGCAGGUAGCCAGGUUAAACCUGCAGUGGUAUAUCUGUUAUUAACUUGAGAAGCCUACUGGGUAACAUGGUAUCUUACAUUGGGCGCUUUUCUUCUGUUUUUGAUGGUGCUGUACUCCAUUAUCACUUGUAAGAUGUAAGAUUCUACAGCAGCUGUGAGAAUUUAAAGUUUUGGGGUAAGUUUUUUUUUGUUGUUGUUGCUGUUAAAAGUCAUGUGCAUUAUUGGCGUUACAAU